UUAACCUAUGUGUAUUUAUCGUAAAACAAAGUGCAUUUAAACUUCUAGUUUUUUGUUCAUGUAAUCAUGUCUAUUUAGGCCAAGAAGAUUGGAAUUUGAAUUAAAACAAGUGUUUCGAUUGGGCAUAUUUA